UGUAUUUUGUGUUUUUGUUAUAUGUUUGGGUAGGCCAGGGUGUGACAUGGGUUUAUAUGUUGUGUUUCGUAUUGGGGUUUGUAUUAAUUGGGAUUGUGUAUGAUUAGGGGUGUGUCUAGUUAGGCUUGGCUGCCUGAAGCGAUUCUCAAUUGGAGUCAGGUGAUUCUCGUUGUCUCGGAUUGGGAACCGUAUUUAGGUAGCCUGAGUUCGCGUUGUAUUUUGUGGGUGUUUGUUCCUGUCUCUGUGUAGUAGUCACCAGAUAGGCUGUAAUUAGUUUCACGUUUCGUUUGUUGUUUUCUUAUUUCAGUUAUUUCAUGUACCGCGUUCUUUCAUUAAAGUCAUGAGUAACCUA